rnacentral:rRNA from 1 species
GACAGAGGGUGCAAACGUUGUUCGGAAUUACUGGGCGUAAAGCGCGUGUAGGCGGCCAUGCAAGUCGGAUGUGAAAGCCCUCGGCUCAACCGGGGAAGUGCACUCGAAACUGCAAGGCUAGAGUCUCGGAGAGGAUCGUGGAAUUCUCGGUGUAGAGGUGAAAUUCGUAGAUAUCGAGAGGAACACCGGUGGCGAAGGCGGCGAUCUGGACGAUGACUGACGCUGAGACGCGAAAGCGUGGGAGCAAACAGG